UUACGGCCAUAUCACGUUGAAACACUGGUUCUCCUGCGAUCACCAACGUUAAGCAACAUUCAGCUUGAGUAGUACCAAGAUGGAUGCCCCCUUCGGAAUACCAAAUGCUGUAAG